GUCGAUAGAGGCGCAUCAAACAUCAGUAACGGCACCCGAUAUGCUGCCAGGCAUGGGAACCGCGAAAGGGAAUGAUGCCGAAGGCGACCGCUGGCAACGGUUGGCCUGGUUGCAUGGGAAAUACGCAUGCAACUGUCGCAGGACUGCGAUGAGCUGGAACUGCGGAGAGCUAUCUGG
rnacentral:ncRNA from 1 species